UCCGUAGGUGAACCUGCGGAAGGAUCAUUACCGAGUUAGGGUCUGCCCUCGCGCGGCCCGACCUCCCAACCCUGUGUUUAUACCACCUUGUCGUUGCUUCGGCGGACCGGCCGCGACCGCCUCUGGUCCCGGCCGCCGGGGGCCCUGGUUGCCCCUGGAGCGCGUCCGCCGACGGCCCCCACAAAACUCUUGUAUCGAAACGUGUCGUCUGAAUGCAAACUUGAUAAAUAAUCAAAAAAAACAAAACAUUCAACAACGGAUCUCUUGGUUCUGGCAUCGAUGAAGAACGCAGCGAAAUGCGAUAAGUAAUGCGAAUUGCAGAAUUUCCGUGAGUCAUCGAAUCUUUGAACGCACAUUGCGCCCAUUGGUAUUCCGAUGGGCAUGCCUGUUCGAGCGUCAUUAUCCUCUCUCAAACCCCGGGUUUGGUGUUGGGCCGCGCCGCGCGUCCGCGCGUCGGGCCCCAAAGACAAUGACGGCGUCCGUGGGACCCUCGGUGCAACGAGCUUCUCGUGAGCACGCGCCGAGUUUCAAGGACACACCGGGCCGGUCUAACCUCCAAUUUUUUUCUCAGGUUGACCUCGGAUCGGGUAGGGAUACCCGCUGAACUUAAGCAUAUCAAUAAGCGGAGGA
rnacentral:rRNA from 1 species